rnacentral:rRNA from 1 species
CCUACGGGUGGCAGCAGUAGGGAAUCUUCCGCAAUGGACGAAAGUCUGACGGAGCAACGCCGCGUGAGUGAUGAAGGUUUUCGGAUCGUAAAGCUCUGUUGUUAGGGAAGAACAAGUACCGUUCGAAUAGGGCGGCACCUUGACGGUACCUAACCAGAAAGCCACGGCUAACUACGUGCCAGCAGCCGCGGUAAUACGUAGGUGGCAAGCGUUGUCCGGAAUUAUUGGGCGUAAAGGGCUCGCAGGCGGUUUCUUAAGUCUGAUGUGAAAGCCCCCGGCUCAACCGGGGAGGGUCAUUGGAAACUGGGGAACUUGAGUGCAGAAGAGGAGAGUGGAAUUCCACGUGUAGCGGUGAAAUGCGUAGAGAUGUGGAGGAACACCAGUGGCGAAGGCGACUCUCUGGUCUGUAACUGACGCU